AACCGGUUGAUGAUAUACCUCUC
rnacentral:siRNA from 1 species